rnacentral:rRNA from 1 species
GAUGAACGCUGGCGGCGUGCCUAAUACAUGCAAGUCGAGCGAACGGAUGAGAAGCUUGCUUCUCUGAUGUUAGCGGCGGACGGGUGAGUAACACGUGGAUAACCUACCUAUAAGACUGGGAUAACUUCGGGAAACCGGAGCUAAUGCCGGAUAAUAUUUUGAACCGCAUGGUUCAAAAGUGAAAGACGGUCUUGCUGUCACUUAUAGAUGGAUCCGCGCUGCAUUAGCUAGUUGGUAAGGUAACGGCUUACCAAGGCAACGAUGCAUAGCCGACCUGAGAGGGUGAUCGGCCACACUGGAACUGAGACACGGUCCAGACUCCUACGGGAGGCAGCAGUAGGGAAUCUUCCGCAAUGGGCGAAAGCCUGACGGAGCAACGCCGCGUGAGUGAUGAAGGUCUUCGGAUCGUAAAACUCUGUUAUUAGGGAAGAACAUAUGUGUAAGUAACUGUGCACAUCUUGACGGUACCUAAUCAGAAAGCCACGGCUAACUACGCG